UUACACAUGCAAGUCGAACGCUCACCUUCGGGUGGGAGUGGCAGACGGGUGAGUAACACGUGGGAACGUACCCUUUGGUUCGGGACAACUCUGGGAAACUGGAGCUAAUACCGGAUACGCCCUUUUGGGGAAAGGUUUACUGCCGAAGGAUCGGCCCGCGUCUGAUUAGCUAGUUGGUGGGGUAACGGCCUACCAAGGCGACGAUCAGUAGCUGGUCUGAGAGGAUGAUCAGCCACACUGGGACUGAGACACGGCCCAGACUCCUACGGGAGGCAGCAGUGGGGAAUAUUGGACAAUGGGCGCAAGCCUGAUCCAGCCAUGCCGCGUGAGUGAUGAAGGCCUUAGGGUUGUAAAGCUCUUUUAUCCGGGACGAUAAUGACGGUACCGGAGGAAUAAGCCCCGGCUAACUUCGUGCCAGCAGCCGCGGUAAUACGAAGGGGGCUAGCGUUGCUCGGAAUCACUGGGCGUAAAGGGCGCGUAGGCGGCGUUUUAAGUCGGGGGUGAAAGCCUGUGGCUCAACCACAGAAUGGCCUUCGAUACUGGGACGCUUGAGUCUGGUAGAGGUUGGUGGAACUGCGAGUGUAGAGGUGAAAUUCGUAGAUAUUCGCAAGAACACCGGUGGCGAAGGCGGCCAACUGGACCGGCACUGACGCUGAGGCGCGAA
rnacentral:rRNA from 1 species